rnacentral:lncRNA from 1 species
AUCCUCCUCCCACCCUGAGGACCCACCCCUGGGUCUAGGCUUUCUGUCUCUCAAGUCCACCAUCAAUUCAAUUCAUACUCACCAGCUGUGAGGAGAAACCACAAACUCUGCAGGAACUAGCAACCGUGAUGUGUCACCUCCGGUGAGAUGGUGCAGUGAGCGGAUGCACCUCCAUACUGCUCCAGUGCAACCUCUAUUUUGGUAAACUUGUGAAACCGAACAGAAAUUUCUCUCCCGUCUUUCUGCUCUCCAUCUGGAAAAAGCUUAUCCGAAACCAUGGGGAAGAGGAGAAGACCCGAAUACCCUUCUAGCCAAGAUAAUAUGCCAAUUAAGACAUCAAAACAGAGAUGUCUGGAAGACUGUCUGGUGUGGUCAGACAUAGCAGACUUUGAGGGUCCCAAGGUCGAUGAGUCCUGGACAACUGCCUAGCCUUCAACUAACGGCUUCCAGAGUGCAAGCAACAGAGAUGAUUCUUCAUCUGUAUCAAGCCUAGGUGCCCUGUCAUUGAUAUCCCAUCUAAAAGCAACCACUGACACCAUUGGAAGUUCUUUAUUAAAGCUAAAAUCUUCUCAUCCUGAGUUUCAUGUGGAAGCUCACUUGUCCCAUCCCAGUUCAAGCAGCACCCAGAGCAUCAAAAAAGACAAAAGAAAAAGAAAAAGUAGGGAGCUUUGUAAUAAGUCUCCUCUUGAUCUCCUAGUACCUAAGUCU